GACGGUUAUGGUUACGGUUACACUCAUGUUAAUUUAUCUUUUUUUUUCGCGGUUAAACAGAAUGUAAGUUAGUUUCCUAAAGGAACCCGCGUUAUGUAAUAAAGACUAGCAUGAUUAUUUUAAGGCUGUUGAUGUGGUAAUUGUUAAAAGUAUGUUUUACAUGUAAUAUUUCAGACUUGUUGAGCUCGUGUCUUCAUUAAAGACACAGAAGUCUGCUCUUGUGAGGAGUCACAGACUGUGUGAGGAGGAGGUGGUGUUCUCAGCUUCUUCUGAGGAGAGGGAGAGACGGGUUUAAGAUGUUGAAAGCCAGAGACAUAGCAGAGCAUCAUUCUUUUGAGAUUUAUGCCACUGAUGAAGAACAGGCGGUGACUGGGAUGAAUACUGGUCAAAGAAGAGAAUGUCCUUUCCCCUAAACUGAUGCAACAGUGGUUUUAAAGGAGGAUGCUGCCCUGGAUGAUGUAGAAGAUGUCACAUGUGCUGAUGGGGCUUCUUACAUCAAUUAUGCUGAAGAGAUCAUGAAAGUUGACAGUGAUGCAUGAUCUGUAUUCAUGGACUGUGAAACAAACUGUAAGUGUAUAAUUUGUAAAAACAAUGUUAAAUGCUUGUUCUGUGUUUAGUAAAAGAGUUUACACUCUGUCAUUCAUACACAUGCUCACAUUCUUUCACACACACACACACACGUCUGUUAAAUGUUAUAAUAUCAGUGUUAAUAUUGUGGUUUAUUUGUGUACUGUCAUGCUAGAAUAGUUGGUAAAGAACUUAACUAAUUGUACAUUUAUUGUAUAAUAGUGUGUUCGUAUAUUUUUAUACAGUAUAUAAAAUUUAAGUCCAAUUUGAUCUUAAAAGUUAUAUUCAACAAAUGUUCAAUGCUUUAUUUAUGAACUCUGUAGCUGUUAAUGCCAUACUUUUCUGCAUUUCUU
ensembl:lncRNA